rnacentral:rRNA from 1 species
AAAUUGAAGAGUUUGAUCAUGGCUCAGAUUGAACGCUGGCGGCAGGCCUAACACAUGCAAGUCGAACGGUAACAGGAARCAGCUUGCUGYUUCGCUGACGAGUGGCGGACGGGUGAGUAAUGUCUGGGAAACUGCCUGAUGGAGGGGGAUAACUACUGGAAACGGUAGCUAAUACCGCAUAACGUCGCAAGACCAAAGAGGGGGACCUUCGGGCCUCUUGCCAUCGGAUGUGCCCAGAUGGGAUUAGCU